GGGAUAAAUCAACUGUCAAGUGGUUGUCAUUUGCUAGUUGCUUUUGUCCCGC
rnacentral:pre_miRNA from 1 species